UUACAACCCGAAGGCCUUCUUCCUGCACGCGGCAUUGCUGGAUCAGGCUUGCGCCCAUUGUCCAAAAUUCCCCA
rnacentral:rRNA from 1 species